rnacentral:rRNA from 1 species
GAUAAACGCUGGCGGCGUGCCUAAUACAUGCAAGUCGAACGCAGUGGGGACGGGUGAGUAACACGUGGGUAACCUCCCAUCAGAGGGGAUACCACUUGGAAACAGGUGCUAAACCGAUACUGAUGGAUGGACCCGCGGUGCAUUAGGUAGGUGGUGAGGUAACGGCUCACCAAGGCCACGAUGCAUAGCCGGCCUGAGAGGGUGAUCGGCCACACUGGAACUGAGACACGGCCCAGACUCCUACGGGAGGCAGCAGUGGGGAAUCUUCGGCAAUGGGCGAAAGUCGGACCGAGCAACGCCGCGUGAGUGAAGAAGGUUUUCGGAUCGUAAAGCACUGUUGUUAGAGAAGCGGUAACUAACCAGGAAGCCACGGCUAACUACGUGCCAGCAGCCGCGGUAAUUC